rnacentral:rRNA from 1 species
AUUGAACGCUGGCGGCAUGCCUUACACAUGCAAGUCGAACGGCAGCACGGGGGCAACCCUGGUGGCGAGUGGCGAACGGGCGAGUAAUGCAUCGGAACGUGCCCAGUAGUGGGGGAUAACCAGUCGAAAGACUGGCCAAUACCGCAUACGACCCAAGGGUGAAAGCGGGGGACCGUAAGGCCUUGCGCUAUUGGAGCGGCCGAUGUCUGAUUAGCUAGUUGGCGGGGUAAGAGCCCACCAAGGCGACGAUCAGUAGCUGGUCUGAGAGGACGACCAGCCACACUGGGACUGAGACACGGCCCAGACUCCUACGGGAGGCAGCAGUGGGGAAUUUUGGACAAUGGGCGCAAGCCUGAUCCAGCCAUGCCGCGUGCGGGAAGAAGGCCUUCGGGUUGUAAACCGCUUUUGGCAGGAACGAAACGGCGCAGGCCAAUACCUUGCGCUAAUGACGGUACCUGCAGAAUAAGCACCGGCUAACUACGUGCCAGCCGCCGCAGUAAGAC